rnacentral:rRNA from 1 species
UACGUAGGGUGCGAGCGUUAUCCGGAAUUAUUGGGCGUAAAGAGCCCGUAGGCGGCUUGUCGCGUCGGAUGUGAAAGCCCGGGGCUUAACUCCGGGUCUGCAUUCGAUACGGGCAGGCUAGAGUUCGGUAGGGGAGAUCGGAAUUCCUGGUGUAGCGGUGAAAUGCGCAGAUAUCAGGAGGAACACCGGUGGCGAAGGCGGAUCUCUGGGCCGAUGCUGACGCUGAGGAGCGAAAGCGUGGGGAGCGAACAGG